CGUUUUUCUUUUAAGAUUUUCCAUUCUUGCAUAGGGUUCCCUCAGAUCUAUUUUCAUUGUUCUUUGUUGUGCAGGUACGGUCGAUCCUCUCAAUCAUGUACCUGUUUUCGUCCAAACAAUAUCAAGGGAAAUCAAUCUCACAAGUAGUUGUUGAAGCAACAUUCAUCAAGUUCAUGUAGUUAAUAUUUGUGGCUGAGAAGAAAUUCGAGGAUUCACGGGAGGCUAAAGAAGUAAUCAUGUCAAAGAAACAGUUCGAUUAUCACCGCCACUUAACGGAUUUCCGAUUGCCAAAUUCACAAUCCCACUCCUGGCAUAGCUAUAAACACUUUCCAAGAUUUUUUUGGGGGUAUUUUUAUCUAUUCGAUUAACUAUGUUUUCCAAAUGAUGUUUUAGUUUGACGUUGAAAAUUAAUUUCCAUGAUUGUAUAAGCCAUUUAGCUUAUAGGUUUAAGAUUUUAUUAUAGUUGGAUUUGUGUUUUACUUCGUUCUAAGCUCUUGGCGUAAAAUAAGAUCUUUAUGUACUCUGCUGAUUGUGGUUAUUGUAACUCAUAAGUAAAUGUUCAUCAAAUAUUAAAACAAGAAAAUAUUAGGU